CACACACACACACACACACACACACACUUUACUGACAUGGUACACGUUCUUUGCACACCAAAAAUAAAGUGAGCAGUAAUGAAAAUACACCAAUAAUGGAGUCAAUGGAGGGAGUUAUGCAGAAGCUGGGACUUAGAGUUACUUAAAGGCCCUAUGCAGGCUCUCCUUUUGUUGGAGGAGAAAUUUCAAGUGCAAUGUGGUUCUUUAUUUUCUUUCUCUAAAGCACACAGGCUAUGGUGGAAUGUAGGGCUUUGACCAUGUUUGGAAAGUACAAUCACACUGAAUUAAAUCCUAGGGCUGGAACCCUAUUACUCUUCUACAAAAUUACAGACCAGGCUGGAUGAAUACUCCCAGGAGACAAUGUGGACAUCUCAAGACAGGCACUGGACAAUGGCUGAAGACUUGUCUGAAGACUGGAAAUAUUUUGAAAAUUCAGAGAGAAAAAAAAGGCCCCUCUGACUACACCGUACUCUAAGGACAGUUUAUGCAGGUGCUUCCUACACAAGAAGUCACAUGACCAUAGAGUGUCAUUUGUCAAAGAACCAAGAACUUGUUCAAAACUCUACAGAGCAUCCAAUCUAUCACAUGGAUAUGCAAUAAUGAGGUGCUUGAAAUCACAUCAAGAAAUAGCCUGCAUGGAAGGUUGCAACAUGGGUGUGUGUUAGGGGAACACCCAUGAAGCCUUGUGCUUAGCAUUCAACGGUUGCCACAAAAUUCCUUAGGAGGAAGACUUGAAAUCAUUAUGGUGCUAGAAACAGUGUGGAGGCCAGUUGGCAUAGGAAAGUGAAACAUUAGAGCCACCAGUGAAGGCUCCUGUUGGGCCCUACCUUGGUGUUUCCCUCCCCCCUCGCUGAGCCUUUCAGCCUGCUAUAGCAAGAAAUUGUUUACACCUUUGACAGCUGCUC
rnacentral:sRNA from 1 species